ACAAUGUGGUUUUAGAGGGUGAGGUUUGAUGUGAUUGGUAAUUACAGCUGGAAUGAUUUGCUGAUUCAGCAAUACCUUUGCUUAUUAUUGGAAUGUGAAAUAUAAUGAAAAGGCAAUUCUGUUUUUAGAUUGUUGUAACUAAAUCAAUUUAUUUAUUAAACGUAACUUAAUGUUUUGUUGCAGCUCCUUGAUUAGUAGUUGUAUCAGGCGGUAGGAGGUGCCAGUUUACAUAUGUAUAGGUUUUUUAUUACUGUAUAUAGUCUUAGCAAUGGAAUAUGUAGUAAGAUGGAGAUUAUUGUGAGAUAUCUUAUGUAUUUUGGUAUAGGUUAUGAUUCUAGGUUACAUACUUUAUAUUCAUUUGAUGAUUAUAUCAUUAAUUAUGGCCACUCUCUUUGAUCAGUGGUGCUUUCACACUGGAGGAGGCGCCAGCUUCCAGCUGAACAGGUUUCAUAUUGUCAUAGUCUUAGCAAUAUUGAAUACAUAAAUAUGAUCCAAGGC